rnacentral:tRNA from 1 species
CGGAGCAUGUCGCAGCUGGGUAGCGUACCGUCUCGCUCGGAUGGAGGUCGCGGGUUCAAACCCCGUCGUCCCGCUGCUCCGA